UGCUCAGCAACUCCUAUUCCUACCUAAUCGCGGUACUGGCCGGGGUACGAGUAACCUUAGGGAAGAUCAGGUAACCAACCUCGGUGGGAGCUCUGGUCGUUUGCUGACAGGGAAGU
rnacentral:ribozyme from 1 species